UGCAUCUCCAAACAACUGAGCUGCUUUAUUUUCAGUUGUAGCAGUGGAAAAAUGUGCAAACUUAUUUCCAUUUGAUCAUGUCCUUGAAAAAAGUCUCCCAGGAAACACCAAAGACCAUUACCAUUGAAAGCAGAAACACGACAAACUGAGCAUGUGUAACCUGAACCACUUUCUUACAACCCAUCACGAGGCGCAGCAUCAGUUGAACAUAGAGUUUAAUGUUUUCCACUAGACUAGUGGAUGGAAGAGGUUCCAAAAUCUGUACCAAAAAAAGAAGAAACAAGAACCAAAUUCAGUUGAAACGUAAGAGAUGCAGUUUCACCGAAGUUAGGAAUGAAACCUACUUUCCCAUUUAUUUAGCCAAUAUAUACCAGCUAAGGCUUAGCACAAAAGCAUGCAUAGCUGGAUGAUUGGGCAAAAUUACCCAUCCGUAUUAUCUAUUCUCAGACCUAAAGUCCUAUGAAAAACUAUGCCUAAUUUAUGGCUGUUUCUUCUCCCCUUCUACUACUAAUAUUUCCACAUAGUACUCUGUU